rnacentral:rRNA from 1 species
UGGGGAAUAUUGGACAAUGGGCGAAAGCCUGAUCCAGCCAUGCCGCGUGUGUGAAGAAGGUCUUCGGAUUGUAAAGCACUUUAAGUUGGGAGGAAGGGCAGUAAGCGAAUACCUUGCUGUUUUGACGUUACCGACAGAAUAAGCACCGGCUAACUCUGUGCCAGCAGCCGCGGUAAUACAGAGGGUGCAAGCGUUAAUCGGAAUUACUGGGCGUAAAGCGCGCGUAGGUGGUUCGUUAAGUUGAAUGUGAAAGCCCCGGGCUCAACCUGGGAACUGCAUCCAAAACUGGCGAGCUAGAGUAGGGCAGAGGGUGGUCGAAUUUCCUGUGUAGCGGUGAAAUGCGUAGAUAUAGGAAGGAACACCAGUGGCGAAGGCGACCACCUGGGCUCAUACUGACACUGAGGUGCGAAAGCGUGGGGAGCAAACAGG